AUCCAAAAAGAGAACCAAAACAGGUCAACAAGGUCCGUUUUCUUUAAGAAAGGAAAAAGACUAAGACAUUUCCUAAAAACUGUUAACAGAGUUCAGAAAGAUAAUUUAACACUGCCAUUUUAGUCCAUGUUAGAGAAAGAGAGCCACAAACAUGCACUUUAGAAAAUGCGUGCACCAAAGGAAAUCAGAUAUAAUUUUGAAAACAGGGAAAAUUUAUUAAACAAAAUAUAAUACUAAGAGGAGAAACUGCUGCCAGUGCUCUAAACAAUUUACAACCGUAUUUAGGCAAGGAUUUGGAGGGAAAGUAGCCUAUUCUGACAUGGUGGUUAGAAGACAACUGUUAAAAGCAGGGAUGGAUGGAUGGAGUAAAACUCAGGAUCUGGAGUUAUACAACCUGUGCCUAAAGUGAUCCUAAUGUGAGGAGUUGAUGCUGCAAAGGAAAGUCCCUUCUGCUGCAUCAGGUUUGCUACCUCUGUGCCUUCCUAAUCUAACACCUGACCUGCCAGCAGAACAAUUAGGAGAAUCAUAAAAAUAAGAUAAGGAAAUAAAAGAAAAAAAGUAGAAGCAACACAAGAACAGAAGCAAAGAAAGAAAAUGUUUGAAGAUGAGCCAGCAAUGGAGAUUAGUGAAACGGACAGCGUAAGAGAAGAGAUGGGCAGGCAGACCUGAAGUCAUGCCAAAGUGGAACAAAAAAAAGCCCAAAACCAUCUUGACAAUAAAAUCAGUAGAGGAAAGAGCAAGGAGCAGAAGACAAACAGAGGCAUUUAAAUCCUGGAGAGCACUCAGACACUGCCUGAACAUUAUUCCAGACCAAUGACCCGAAGUUUUGCCUGACUGGAUUCCCCCUUAGACCAGUGGGUGGGGUAUAAGUGAUGACCACUUCAUGCAAGAUGAAGAAACACGCUUUUUGCAGUUCUUUCUGUAUAGAGAUCACCAGACACAAAAAUGUACGAGUAGCUUAUCUUUUUCAAUAAUCAUAAAUGUUGAUUUAUUCAUACAAUUUGACACUCAGCACUGUGAAGUAAAGCGUGCAUAAACAUCCAGUGUCUAGGUAUAAGGCUACUGAGGUGAUAGCCAAAUCUUCCAACCUUUCUUAGAUGGAACAGAAGGAACACUCUUCCGGAAGUAAAGAACAGAGAAAAUAAAACUUGAAAAGACAUUAGGAGACAAUGUAAUUCAAUCCAGGCUCCAAAGCUAGGCCAAGUACACUUAAAUCAUUGUUUAAAAAAUAGGUUUGAUGAAUUGGUUUCAAAAGCUUUUAGUGAGAGACCUCCCAUUCCAUGUCUUGAAGUAAUCUAUCCUACUGUAUAUGUUACGUUAUUCAGAGGAGAAGAAUUUAAUCUUCUUCAUUGCCUUCAUAUGAUUUAGAAAGAAAAACUUCUAAAUUUCGAGUCUUUGCUUAACUGUCAUGUGGGAUAUUGAAUACCUUCAACGCUUCUACUAGAGCAAAAUAAAAACAGAACCAAGACAGAUAGACAGAGAAAUUAUGAACAUUUUAAUUCAGAUAAGAGCACAAAAUAAUAGAUAAAAGUGAAGAAGGCAAGAACGUAAGUUAAAUUACUGUCUGAUAGGAAUAACUUCCAGGAAUAUAUCUGUCAAGCGCUUCAAAUUCUAAGCAGUGUUGACGUUAUGGGCAUUUUCUGUGCCUCAAUUGUGUACCUGCAACUGACUGUGUACUUCUUAAACACAUAAGAAAAUUGUAAUCUUAAUUAGAUCAAGAACGCAAAAUGAGAAUCAAGUUGCAACUAAGAAUGUUGGGAAAAAACUUGAGAUACAGAUCAUGCUGGGAUGAUUCAUUUGACAAGUUAUCUAAUUUAAGUAAAUAUUGCUAUGUUGUGAAAGUCAUUUUAAAGAAAAUGCAGAGCUGUUAGUUACAGUUGCCCUAGGGAAAAUCUGCAUGAGUGAUAUUGUCUUCAUACUCCUACUCACUCUGCCUUUUGUGAAAAUAUUUACAUUGCAUGUUUUGUUGUCUUGGUUCACAUUAUGUAUUUUUACUGCAUUUUGAUGAAACUCACAUCUUUUACACAAUAUGUGAAACACAUACACUUUCAAAUACAAAUAUAUGUAUGCAUAUAUAUGUAGAUACGUAUUUACACAGAAAAAGUCAGAAAAAAAGAGGAUGCGUGUUAACCAAAGCAAAGAUAAUCAGUUUUUCUGGCUUAUACAAUGGAAACUAGAAACGUAUUUAUACUGAGGUCUGAAAAAAUACCUUCUUUCUGUUAUUAAUGUCUCAGCUGGUUGUUUUCUGUGAAUUAAUGUCUAAACUGGGCAGAACCAUAGGAAAUUCAAACAGCUACUAUAAGCCAUCAUGUGUUAAAAUAGUUCAGGUUAUACAUGGGUGAAAGAUUUGACUUGACUAUUCUGUUGCAGUUCAUGCCUGCCUUACAGCAUCUAUUUUGCAAUGAUUUUGCUUCUUUUCAAAUGCGUGUAUUUAAUUUACUGCUUAUCUCUUUACCAUGUCUCCCAUGAAAGCCAUUUCUAAAUUAAUGGAAGGGGACAUACAGUAUUUAAGAUUUUAACACUUACAGUAUUACAGUUUUGCAUACAAGAAUGGAGGUUUCUUUGCCACUGGUGAUGUACAGGUCUAGACUCUCUUUCAGUAAACCAUCAAGAGAGAAAUACAGAGUGCUAGUUCUAGAAUCUGUACCACCUUAGAAAACAUUAUUUAGGAAAACAAAACAAACAACAACAACAACACACACACACAAAAAAACCAAACCAAACCAAAACAACAAAAAACAAACAAAAAAACCCCACAAACAUUUAAAAUACUGAGUCACUGUUGUUUUUAGCAGUUAAAUUCCAGAAAGUGCAGACACUGCCCAUAUAGCUAAAAAAAUGUAACUGAAUUGUGAUACACAA